rnacentral:rRNA from 1 species
GAUGAACGCUGGCGGCGUGCCUAAUACAUGCAAGUCGAGCGAACGGACGAGGAUCUUGCUCCUCUGCCGUUAGCGGCGGACGGGUGAGGAACACGUGGAUAACCUACCUAUAAGACUGGGAUCACUUCGGGAAAGCUGAGCCAAUACCCGAUCAUAUAUUGAACCGCAUGGUUCAAUAGUGAAAGACGGAUUUGCUGUCCCUUAUAGAUAGAUCCGCGCCGCAUUAGCUAGUUGGUAAGGUAACGGCUUACCAAGGCAACGAUGCGUAGCCGACCUGAGAGGGUGAUCGGCCACACUGGAACUGAGACACGGUCCAGACUCCUACGGGAGGCAGCAGUAGGGAAUCUUCCGCAAUGGGCGAAAGCCUGACGGAGCAACGCCGCGUGAAUGAUGAAGGUCUUCGGAUCGUAAAACUCUGUUAUUAGGGAAGAACAAAUGUGUAAGUAACUAUGCACGUCUUGACGGUACCUAAUCAGAAAGCCACGGCUAGCUACGUG